GAUGAACGCUGGCGGCGUGCUUAACACAUGCAAGUCGAACGGAAAGGCCCAAGCUUGCUUGGGUACUCGAGUGGCGAACGGGUGAGUAACACGUGGGUGAUCUGCCCUUCACUUCGGGAUAAGCCUGGGAAACUGGGUCUAAUACCGGAUAGGACGAUGGUUUGGAUGCCAUUGUGGAAAGUUUUUUCGGUGUGGGAUGAGCUCGCGGCCUAUCAGCUUGUUGGUGGGGUAAUGGCCUACCAAGGCGUCGACGGGUAGCCGGCCUGAGAGGGUGUACGGCCACAUUGGGACUGAGAUACGGCCCAGACUCCUACGGGAGGCAGCAAUGGGGAAUAUUGCACAAUGGGCGCAAGCCUGAUGCAGCGACGCCGCGUGGGGGAUGACGGCCUUCGGGUUGUAAACACCUUUCGCUAGGGACGAAGCGUUUUUGUGACGGUACCUGGAGAAGAAGCACCGGCUAACUACGUG
rnacentral:rRNA from 1 species